GAUGAAGAACGUAGCGAAAUGCGAUACGUAAUGUGAAUUGCAGAAUUCAGUGAAUCAUCGAAUCUUUGAACGCAUAUUGCGCUCUUUGGUAUUCCGAAGAGCAUGCUUGUUUGAGUAUCAGUAAACACCUCAACCUCUUCUUGAUUUUUCAAAAGGAGGGUGGACUUGAGCUAUCCCAACAACCUUUACCGGUCGGCGGGCGGCUUGAAAUGCAGGUGCAGCUGGACUUUUAUCUGAGCUAAAAGCAUAUCUAUUUAGUCCUCGUCAAACAGGAUUAUUACUUUUGCUGCAGCUAACAUAAAGGAUAAUUGUCCUCUUUGCUGACUGAUGCAGGAUUUUACGACACUUUAUGUGUUGUUCAACUCGAUCUCACAUCAAGUAAGACUACCCGCUGAACUUAAGCAUAUCAAUAAGCGGAGGA
rnacentral:misc_RNA from 1 species